rnacentral:lncRNA from 1 species
UACUCAGGUGUGAAUUAAGAAUGGUCUGUCCUUUGAAAAACGUCUACUAUGAUUGGUAGAUAUAAGGACUUAGGGGAGGUGACAUAGGAGAAAAUGCCCCUUAAAUAGGAGCUCAGAUUCAUUCAGAUGUAUUUUCAGAUUGAGGAUUGAGCUGGUGGAGGCAGCUGAGAUGAUGCUGUCCUGGUGUCACUAGAAUCCUUGCUUGGACACAUCUUGUGGGUGUCUCCUCAGGUCAGUCUACUCAAAAGGGCCAGCCUAAAUUAAAGGAGAUAUAUGGGAUCCGGAGGACAGCAACAGAAAUGCAGAAACAAAAGUCACCAGGACUGAGGAGAUGAUGCUUAUUGAAAAGAAACUUCUCACCACAAGCCAAAGAGCAGACUGGACUUCCCAGAUAAGGUAAAUUAGCUAAAAACAAAGGAAUAGACCAUCUGGGUCUGGUUGACUGCCACUGACCCAC